rnacentral:rRNA from 1 species
AUACGUAGGUGGCAAGCGUUGUCCGGAUUUACUGGGCGUAAAGGGAGCGUAGGCGGACUUUUAAGUGAGAUGUGAAAUACCCGGGCUCAACCUGGGUGCUGCAUUUCAAACUGGAAGUCUAGAGUGCAGGAGAGGAGAGUGGAAUUCCUAGUGUAGCGGUGAAAUGCGUAGAGAUUAGGAAGAACACCAGUGGCGAAGGCGACUCUCUGGACUGUAACUGACGCUGAGACGCGAAAGCGUGGGUAGC